UGCUCAGGUUGUCUGUGUGUACGAUACGCUUUCUUUGAGUCAGAUUGUUUGGGAAUACAGCUCAAAGUAGGUGGUAAAUUCCMUCUAAAGCUAAAUAUUGGUGCGAGACCGAUAGCGAACAAGUACCGUGAGGGAAAGAUGAAAAGAACUUUGAAAAGAGAGUUAAAGAGUACCUGAAACUGUUGAAAGGGAACCGUAUCGUUUCUAGUGUUUAUCCUAUGCAUAUUUCAUUGGCGGUUGCAAAAUUGCUGGUGCCCUGUGCAUGGGUGUGACGUCAGAGUCAGUUUAAAUUGCGGGAGAUGGGUAGUGAGGAGGUGCGUCACAUUUGUGAAAGUUACAGCUCGCUGCCUAGUAGCCGUGGUUAAGACUGAGGUGCCUACAACAUGCCCUGGGGUCUGGUGUUGUCUCGUUUUAUGUACUGCUUGGAUAGCUUGCUAUGUUGGCGGUGCCUGAGGCGAUUGAUAGUAUUAGUAACCUCUGCUGUUCGGGACUCUGGCGAAAUGGAGCGAUACGACCCGUCUUGAAACACGGACCAAGGAGUCUAACAUGUGUGCAAGUAUUAGGGUGUGGAAACCCAAAUGCGCAAUGAAAGUAAAGGACACAUUAGUGUCUGUGGUAGGAAGGAGCUGUAAUGGUUCUGGCACUAUCGACCGAUCAUGAACCUCCGGGUGAAAGAUUUGAGUAUGAGCAUAUAUGUUGGUACCCGAAAGAUGGUGAACUAUGCCUGAAUAGGGUGAAGCCAGGGGAAACUCUGGUGGAAGCUCGUAGCGAUUCUGACGUGCAAAUCGAUCGUCAAAUUUAGGUAUAGGGGCGAAAGACUAAUCGAACCAUCUAGUAGCUGGUUC
rnacentral:rRNA from 1 species